GAUGAACGCUAGCGGCAGGCUUAACACAUGCAAGUCGAGGGGCAGCAUAAAACAUUGCUUGCAAUGUUUGGUGGCGACCGGCGCACGGGUGCGUAACGCGUAUGCAACCUACCUAUAACAGGGGGAUAACACUGAGAAAUUGGUACUAAUACCCCGUAAUAUUAUUGAAGGCAUCUUUGAUAGUUGAAAGUUCCGGCGGUUAUAGAUGGGCAUGCGUUGUAUUAGCUAGUUGGUGAGGUAACGGCUCACCAAGGCGACGGUACAUAGGGGGACUGAGAGGUUAACCCCCCACAUUGGUACUGAGACACGGACCAAACUCCUACGGGAGGCAGCAGUGAGGAAUAUUGGUCAAUGGACGCAAGUCUGAACCAGCCAUGCCGCGUGCAGGAAGACGGCUCUAUGAGUUGUAAACUGCUUUUGUAUGAGGGUAAAAUUAGGUACGUGUACCUAACUGAAAGUAUCAUACGAAUAAGGAUCGGCUAACUCCGUGCCAGCAGCCGCGGUAAUAC
rnacentral:rRNA from 1 species